UCCCUGGAAGUCCAGUAGUUAGGACUUGGUGCUUUCACUGCUGGGGCCCAGGUUCAAUCCCUGGUCAGGGUA
rfam:Ovis aries breed Texel chromosome 4, whole genome shotgun sequence.